rnacentral:rRNA from 1 species
ACACUGGGUAUGCGUUAGAUACGGCGAGUGAGCGGCAAAAGCUCAAAUUUGAAAUCUGGUACCUUUGGUGCCCGAGUUGUAAUUUGGAGAGUACCACUUUGGGACUGUACUUUGCCUAUGUUCCUUGGAACAGGACGUCAUGGAGGGUGAGAAUCCCGUGUGGCGAGGGUGUCAGUUCUUUGUAAAGGGUGCUCGAAGAGUCGAGUUGUUUGGGAAUGCAGCUCUAAGUGGGUGGUAAAUUCCAUCUAAAGCUAAAUACAGGCGAGAGACCGAUAGCGAACAAGUACAGUGAUGGAAAGAUGAAAAGAACUUUGAAAAGAAGUGAAAAAGUACGUGAAAUUGUUGAAAGGGAAGGGCAUUUGAUCAGACAUGGUGUUUUGCGCCCCUUGCCUCUCGUGGGCUUGGGACUCUCGCAGCUCACUGGGCCAGCAUCGGUUUUGGCGGCCGGAAAAAACCUAGGGAAUGUGGCUCUGCGCCUCGGUGUAGAGUGUUAUAGCCCUGGGGAAUACGGCCAGCCGGGACCGAGGACUGCGAUACUUGUUAUCUAGGAUGCUGGCAUAAUGGUUAUAUGCCGCCCGUCUUGAACCCGGAAACAAAC